AUAUAAGUAAGCGGAGGAAAAGAAACUAAAUAGGAUUCCCUUAGUAAUGGCGAAUGAACAGGGAUCAGCUCAGUAUGGAAAUCGGGGCUUCCCAGCCUUGAAUUGUAGUCUCAAGAGGUAUCGCCAACGGAGGCGCAGAUGUAAGCCUCUUGGAAAAGAGCAUCAAUGAGGGUGAGAAUCCCGUUUGUCAUCUGCAGUCCCCCGUGCACGGUGUAUCUUCUAAGAGUCGCGUUCCUCGGGAUUGGAGCGUAAAGUGGGUGGUAAAUUUCAUCUAAGGCUAAAUAUGGGUUCGAGACCGAUAGCAAACAAGUACCAUGAGGGAAAGAUGAAAAGGACUUUGAAAAGAGAGUUAAAAGUGCCUGAAAUUGCUGAAAGGGAAGCGAAUGGAACCAGUGCUCUUGGCGAGAUUGUUGUGCGCUAUGGUGAUUGCUGGCUGCUUCAGCGCAAGCGGGGUAGUUGGUACUGAGCCUGCCGCGCGCAGUGUUUCUUACCUUGUGCGUCACCGUCGGUUCACAGGCGAGGAUACUUCUGAGGACAUGGUAACUCUUCCACGGAGGUGUGAAUGUCUUUGGUAAUACUCGUUUGUAGACCGCUCACCUUCGGGUUACGAUGACUAAAUGGUUCUAUUCGACCCGUCUUG
rnacentral:rRNA from 1 species